rnacentral:rRNA from 1 species
GUUCGUUGGGUAGGGGAGCGUUCUGUAAGCCUGUGAAGGUGUGUCGUGAGGCAUGCUGGAGGUAUCAGAAGUGCGAAUGCUGACAUAAGUAACGAUAAAGCGGGUGAAAAGCCCGCUCGCCGGAAGACCAAGGGUUCCUGUCCAACGUUAAUCGGGGCAGGGUGAGUCGACCCCUAAGGCGAGGCCGAAAGGCGUAGUCGAUGGGAAACGGGUUAAUAUUCCCGUACUUGGUGUUACUGCGAAGGGGGGACGGAGAAGGCUAUGUUGGCCGGGCGACGGUUGUCCCGGUUUAAGCGUGUAGGUGUGUGUUCCAGGUAAAUCCGGUUCACUUUAACACUGAGGCGUGACGACGAGGCACUACGGUGCUGAAGCAACAAAUGCCCUGCUUCCAGGAAAAGCCUCUAAGCAUCAGGUAACAUCAAAUCGUACCCCAAACCGACACAGGUGGUCAGGUAGAGAAUACCAAGGCGCUUGAGAGAACUCGGGUGAAGGAACUAGGCAAAAUGGUGCCGUAACUUCGGGAGAAGGCACGCUGACACGUAGGUGAAGUGAUUUACUCAUGGAGCUGAAGUCAGUCGAAGAUACCAGCUGGCUGCAACUGUUUAUUAAAAACACAGCACUGUGCAAACACGAAAGUGGACGUAUACGGUGUGACGCCUGCCCGGUGCCGGAAGGUUAAUUGAUGGGGUCAGCGCAAGCGAAGCUCCUGAUCGAAGCCCCGGUAAACGGCGGCCGUAACUAUAACGGUCCUAAGGUAGCGAAAUUCCUUGUCGGGUAAGUUCCGACCUGCACGAAUGGCGUAAUGAUGGCCAGGCUGUCUCCACCCGAGACUCAGUGAAAUUGAACUCGCUGUGAAGAUGCAGUGUACCCGCGGCAAGACGGAAAGACCCCGUGAACCUUUACUAUAGCUUGACACUGAACAUUGAGCCUUGAUGUGUAGGAUAGGUGGGAGGCUUUGAAGCGUGGACGCCAGUCUGCAUGGAGCCGACCUUGAAAUACCACCCUUUAAUGUUUGAUGUUCUAACGUGGACCCGUGAUCCGGGUUGCGGACAGUGUCUGGUGGGUAGUUUGACUGGGGCGGUCUCCUCCUAAAGAGUAACGGAGGAGCACGAAGGUUGGCUAAUCCUGGUCGGACAUCAGGAGGUUAGUGCAAUGGCAUAAGCCAGCUUGACUGCGAGCGUGACGGCGCGAGCAGGUGCGAAAGCAGGUCAUAGUGAUCCGGUGGUUCUGAAUGGAAGGGCCAUCGCUCAACGGAUAAAAGGUACUCCGGGGAUAACAGGCUGAUACCGCCCAAGAGUUCAUAUCGACGGCGGUGUUUGGCACCUCGAUGUCGGCUCAUCACAUCCUGGGGCUGAAGUAGGUCCCAAGGGUAUGGCUGUUCGCCAUUUAAAGUGGUACGCGAGCUGGGUUUAGAACGUCGUGAGACAGUUCGGUCCCUAUCUGCCGUGGGCGCUGGAGAACUGAGGGGGGCUGCUCCUAGUACGAGAGGACCGGAGUGGACGCAUCACUGGUGUUCGGGUUGUCAUGCCAAUGGCACUGCCCGGUAGCUAAAUGCGGAAGAGAUAAGUGCUGAAAGCAUCUAAGCACGAAACUUGCCCCGAGAUGAGUUCUCCCUGAGACUUAGAGUCUCCUGAAGGAACGUUGAAGACGACGACGUUGAUAGGCCGGGUGUGUAAGCGCAGCGAUGCGUUGAGCUAACCGGUACUAAUGAACCGUGAGGCUUAACCUUAC